rnacentral:rRNA from 1 species
UGGGGAAUAUUGCACAAUGGGCGCAAGCCUGAUGCAGCAACGCCGCGUGAACGAUGAAGGUCUUCGGAUCGUAAAGUUCUGUUGCAGGGGAAGAUAAUGACGGUACCCUGUGAGGAAGCCCCGGCUAACUACGUGUCAGCAGCCGCGGUAAUACGUAGGGGGCUAGCGUUAUCCGGAUUUACUGGGCGUAAAGGGUGCGUAGGUGGUCUUUCAAGUCGGUGGUUAAAGGCUACGGCUCAACCGUAGUUAGCCUCCGAAACUGGAAGACUUGAGUGCAGGAGAGGAAAGUGGAAUUCCCAGUGUAGCGGUGAAAUGCGUAGAUAUUGGGAGGAACACCAGUAGCGAAGGCGGCUUUCUGGACUGCAACUGACACUGAGGCACGAAAGCGUGGGUAGCAAACAGG